rnacentral:rRNA from 1 species
CGCAGCAAACGCAGUAAGUACCCCGCCUGGGAGUACGGCGCAAGGUUGAAACUCAAAGGAUUGACGGGGCCCGCACAAGCGGUGGUGCAUGUGGUUUAAUUCGACGCAACGUCGAGGAACCUUUACCUAGGCUUUGACAGUGUGGUGAGUAGCGAACCGAAAGGGGNGUCGACCCGUCAAAUCGGGCCAUCAUACAGGUGCUGCAUGGCUGUCGUCAGCUCGUGCCGUGAGU